rnacentral:misc_RNA from 1 species
AGGUCACAACAUUUUUUGUUUUUUUUUGAAUGGCAAGAAAAUGUAUUACGAGGCCAUGUGAGCAUGAAAAAUACAAAUAGAAGAUAGGGAAUCAGGACAAACAAGAAGUCAAUUACAUGGAAGUUGAUUAAGAAAACCAAGUUUUGCAAGAUGAUGAGCAGCUGCGUUAGCCUUUUUACAUGAGAGAAGGUAACUUGGCUGAAGAUGAGCAGCUGCACAAUUGCCUGAAUUGCCCAAACUUUAUGUACUGGAGGCUCUUUCAAAACUGAUGAAGCAAUUGCCUGCACAAGCACAACCCAUUGUUUUUGCUAAUUUAAUAGCCGCAGAAUCCCCUGAGCUUCACCAACAAACAAGAGGAGAUGAACACCGAACCUUCACAUUCUAAUAUAUAUUUUCUUUGAGAUCUAAUAAUUACUGGAUAACACAAGCAUUCGGGGCUUCUUCAAUAUUAUAGCAAUAGUAAUAUGGAGUCGUGUGAGGAUUGUAAACCUUGUAAGACUUCACAAGCUCCGCAACGUCAUCUUUGUCCCUGAAUUUUCUGCAGAAAGCAUGUUUAGUGACAACCGGUUCCCACAGCAAAUUGUUCCACCAGCUUCCGCUUCCUUUAACUUGUCUUAAUUUUGUUGCGCUGUUGGAAUCAAAUGGAAGACUUCGUAGGUUUGGGCAAUCAAAUACGACUAGCUUCGCAAGGGAAAAAAAUUGUAGGGGUCGGCAGUAGAUGGACUUGAGAUUUGGUAAGCGUUUCAAUGAUAAUUUCUCCAGAUUUCUGAAUACAUCUUGCCCAUGAUCUUCACUUAUUACUUCAAUAAUUUCAUUGCAGCCACUUAAUUUCAGAGAUUGAAGGCUCGGGACAUUUAUGAGGCACGUCACGUUCUUUAUUGGACAGUCGCAGAUCCUCACAAUACAGAGGUUGGGAAACGAUUCCUGCAUUUUUCUCCAGCGGUGGUCGGGGGAAACAUUGAUCUCAGAACCCUGAGGCUCCUGCUGAUUAUUUUCUUUGACAAUUUCAACCUCUGUCAAGGACGAGCACUUCAAUAAUUCAAGUCUCUCCAAAUGCUCCAUCCCUCUUAGAGAGAGUUUUGGUGGAUGAUCUGUGCCCUGUACUAGUUGCAGCUGUUUUAUGCGUCUUCGCAACUUGUGGGUGUCACUGUCCAAUACUUUUUGCACGAAACUUGCAUAUGAUAAAAAUAUACCAAUCUCAUCUAUGUGUUCCAAGGAUUCCAACUCCUUUAGAAGCUCUACUUCAUCAUCUAGUGGAGAAUUAAGAAGCAACAUCUGAUCAAAUACCCUCCUAAAAGCCUGCAAUGAUGAAAGACUAGAAAUCACGCCCAUUGGGAUAGUUAGCAGGGGCGGUGUCCUAUCCAAUAUCAAAGACUGCAACUUCUUCAAAUUCUGAACCUCCAUUGGCAAUAUUUCUAUACAAGUCCCUGACAAAUUUAGAUAACGCAAGUUCCUCAAAUUUCCAAUGCCCACAGGUAGCUCAAUUAAGCCUUCAUUAUCUGACAAGUCCAAAACUUUUAAAGCAGGCAUAGAUUGAAAGAAUUCACUUGGCAGUAUCUUCAAAUUAGUAGCCCUGAGAAGCAACGUUGUAAGAUGAUGGCAAGAAGGUGCCUCAGGGAGAGAUUCGAUGCUGGCACCCCACAAUGAUAUCCUUUCUGCUUUAAUCCACUUUGAAAGCUGUGGUGUUUUUUCCCGCACCAACACUUUGUCCUCUGCCUUUCCCUCCUCACGAGCUAGCCACAAGGUCAUUGCUUGAAUCACAUCAUGCAUUUUAACAAAAUCUUCUGAUUUACCAG